rnacentral:sRNA from 2 species
GGUGCCGAUCGUUCGCUGAGGCUCCUUCACGGAAACAGGCCAGCGACCCCGAACGUCGAGAGACGCCCCGGGUCAGGACAGAUCUCCCCGGCUUAAGGGGUGAUCCCGAUUGGCUCCCGGUCCGCCGGGUUCACGCCGUGAAGUGCCAAAGGUCUUACGAGGAGGGGUGCC